UGAGUUGCCAUCGUCACUCUGGACCCAUAGCUACUCCAUCCCGAGUAGCCAUGGGCUUACCAUAGAAGGAACAAACUCUUAAUCUUAGAACUGCUUUAGGCAGUGGGCGUGAUGGUUAAAAACUCGGCCUUUGGCGUCGACCUCAGACGGAGAUCUACCAAUUAGGAAAUUAGCUGUGAUUUAGAAAAUUUAAUAUUUCGAUGCCAUACUUUCCUAAUCUGCAAAAUUUUUGUAAAUACCUGUGACCUAGUGUCGUGAGCGCUUAGCAACACCUGACACCCACUAAGCUCUCAGCCAGUGGUUCUGAAAGUGGUUCUAGACCAGCAACAACAGCAGUAGCAGCAGCACCUGUGAACUUGUUAGAAAUGCAAAGUUUCAGGCCCAUUCCAGUUCUACUGAAUCUGAAACUCGAAGGGAACAGCAACCUAUGUUUUAAUAAACCCCAAGGUAUAUACCCAGUGACAUGAAUCCUGGAUCAUAAGAAGAGAGACCGAACACCAGGAAAGAAAAUACAGAUUUCCCCAGACUCUACCUGCUAUCACCAUUUUGUUGUAAUACACCUUAACUAUGGUCGCCAGAGAACCAUGAUGACAAAGAGGAUCAUGGAGAACAGCAAGCGCCAGAUGGCAUCGUCUACCCACAGCUCCCGCCAGUCCUACAAUACAGGGGAGAAGUACAACAUUUAUACACAUUAUCUUAACCCCUUGUUCAUAAAGCCUUUGGCAUAGAACAAAAAUCACUUAUUUGUUCAUUCAAGUUAUGUUUACUAAGAGCCUGCUACGUGCUCAGUACUGUGAAAGAUCAAUGGAAACCCAUCUCAAGGGGAGAAAAUGGACCAUCAUCAAACAAGCCAAUGAGAAGGAUAU
rnacentral:lncRNA from 1 species